rnacentral:rRNA from 1 species
GUCCAGACUCCUACGGGAGGCAGCAGUGGGGAAUAUUGCACAAUGGGCGAAAGCCUGAUGCAGCAACGCCGCGUGAAGGAAGAAGGCCUUCGGGUCGUAAACUUCUGUCCUUGGGGAAGAAGAACUGACGGUACCCAAGGAGGAAGCCCCAGCUAACUUCGUGCCAGCAGCCGCGGUAAUACGAAGGGGGCAAGCGUUGUUCGGAAUUACUGGGCGUAAAGGGAGUGUAGGCGGUUUAGUAAGAUAGUGGUGAAAUCCCAGAGCUUAACUUUGGAAUUGCCAUUAUAACUAUUAGACUAGAAUUACAGAGAGGAUAGUGGAAUACCCAGUGUAGAGGUGAAAUUCGUAGAUAUUGGGUAGAACACCAGUGGCGAAGGCAACUAUCUGGCUGUACAUUGACGCUGAGGCUCGAAAGCAUGGGGAUCAAACAGGAUUAGAUACCCGAGUA